AUAUCAAUUUGUUGUGUCAUAUUUUUUCCCUUGCUUAUCGUAUUUGGAGUGUGUAUACAUAUUUCGUGUUUUAUUGGAGCACAUUACGGUCUUUCUGUUAAGACGGAGUCUCCGGCAACUGGUCGACGAAGAGCCCCUGUGUCUCACAUGAGGAAAAUGGAAUGAUGGAAGCAAUGAUAUGCAGAAAGAACAUCUUUUCAAAUAUUAAAAUUUAUUAAUUCAUUUUCUUGUCUUUCAUUUCCAAAUAUUUUGAAGAAAUCUUUGAUUAAACUUUCUAUGUCUUUCUACUUUAUAAAUAAAAUAACGUGAUAGAGACUAAGAGUUGUGAGUGACUCAA